rnacentral:rRNA from 1 species
UACGGAAUGUGCAAACGUUAUUCGGAAUCACUGGGCUUAAAGAGUCCGUAGGCGGCUUGUUAGGUGAGGUGUGAAAGCCCUCGGCCCAACCGAGGAAUUGCGCUUCAAACCGGCAAGCUAGAGGAGGAUAGAGGUGGGCGGAACUGAUGGUGGAGCGGUGAAAUGCGUUGAUAUCAUCAGGAACACCGGAGGCGAAGGCGGUCCACUGGGUCCUUUCUGGCGCUGAGGGACGAAAGCUAGGGGAGCGAACGGG